GUGCAAAGAUGAAUGAUUUCUUGAUGAAUAUCUUUGGCCCGUAGUGCAAAGAUGAACAUGUGUUGAGAUGAACAUGACCUACUGAUUAAUAUCUUUGGCCCGUAGUGCAAAGAUGAAUAGGUGUUUAGAUGAACAUGACCAACUGAUGAAUAUCUUUGGCCUGUAAUGCAAAGAUGAAUAUUUGAUUCUAGAUAUAUAUUGAUUGAUGUUACAGGGAUAAAAUAUCGACGAUGAACUUUUAAAUUCAUAUAUAGAAGAUAGUAGUUUGCAUUCUCUACUUAACUCUUCUAAUGAAUUUUUGUUUUCGCUGCAGUUGUUGAUUUAAAACUGGUUAUCUAUUGUAUUCUAUUAGAUUUUUCCAUGUUGGAGACUAACGAAAAUUUGUUGUAUAUUAUCUUAGUCAUAAUAUUCUUUACUGGGCUAGUUGAGCUCACCCUUUUCCUUUUUGUUCCAUUUUUCUUCUCAGGAGGCGAGAAUGUAGCGAGUACGAGUCGGGGUAUGGAAUGAUGGUUAUAGAGAGAGUUGUUUAGUAGUCCUCACCAUUUUUGUAAAAUAAUGUAUAAAUAAUUGUGAUGAGGA
rnacentral:lncRNA from 1 species